rnacentral:rRNA from 1 species
CCUAAUACAUGCAAGUAGAACGCUGAAGAGAGGAGCUUGCUCUUCUUGGAUGAGUUGCGAACGGGUGAGUAACGCGUAGGUAACCUGCCUUGUAGCGGGGGAUAACUAUUGGAAACGAUAGCUAAUACCGCAUAACAAUGGAUGACACAUGUCAUUUAUUUGAAAGGGGCAAAUGCUCCACUACAAGAUGGACCUGCGUUGUAUUAGCUAGUAGGUGAGGUAACGGCUCACCUAGGCGACGAUACAUAGCCGACCUGAGAGGGUGAUCGGCCACACUGGGACUGAGACACGGCCCAGACUCCUACGGGAGGCAGCAGUAGGGAAUCUUCGGCAAUGGGGGCAACCCUGACCGAGCAACGCCGCGUGAGUGAAGAAGGUUUUCGGAUCGUAAAGCUCUGUUGUAAGUCAAGAACGAGUGUGAGAGUGGAAAGUUCACACUGUGACGGUAGCUUACCAGAAAGGGACGGCUAACUACGUGCCAGCAGCCGCGGUAAUACGUAGGUCCCGAGCGUUGUCCGGAUUUAUUGGGCGUAAAGCGAGCGCAGGCGGUUUGAUAAGUCUGAAGUUAAAGGCUGUGGCUCAACCAUAGUUCGCUUUGGAAACUGUCAAACUUGAGUGCAGAAGGGGAGAGUGGAAUUCCAUGUGUAGCGGUGAAAUGCGUAGAUAUAUGGAGGAACACCGGUGGCGAAAGCGGCUCUCUGGUCUGUAACUGACGCUGAGGCUCGAAAGCGUGGGGAGCGAACAGGAUUAGAUACCCUGGUAGUCCACGCCGUAAACGAUGAGUGCUAGGUGUUGGAUCCUUUCCGGGAUUCAGUGCCGCAGCUAACGCAUUAAGCACUCCGCCUGGGGAGUACGACCGCAAGGUUGAAACUCAAAGGAAUUGACGGGGGCCCGCACAAGCGGUGGAGCAUGUGGUUUAAUUCGAAGCAACGCGAAGAACCUUACCAGGUCUUGACAUCCCGAUGCUAUUUCUAGAGAUAGAAAGUUACUUCGGUACAUCGGUGACAGGUGGUGCAUGGUUGUCGUCAGCUCGUGUCGUGAGGUGUUGGGUUAAGUCCCGCAACGAGCGCAACCCCUAUUGUUAGUUGCCAUCAUUCAGUUGGGCACUCUAGCGAGACUGCCGGUAAUAAACCGGAGGAAGGUGGGGAUGACGUCAAAUCAUCAUGCCCCUUAUGACCUGGGCUACACACGUGCUACAAUGGUUGGUACAACGAGUUGCGAGUCGGUGACGGCAAGCUAAUCUCUUAAAGCCAAUCUCAGUUCGGAUUGUAGGCUGCAACUCGCCUACAUGAAGUCGGAAUCGCUAGUAAUCGCGGAUCAGCACGCCGCGGUGAAUACGUUCCCGGGCCUUGUACACACCGCCCGUCACACCACGAGAGUUUGUAACACCCGAAGUCGGUGAGGUAACCUUUUGGAGCCAGCCGCCUAAGGUGGGAUAGAUGAUUGGGGU